rnacentral:lncRNA from 1 species
AGCCAAAGCUGAGCUAACCUCGGAGAGCUAACAAACAUCGAAGCUCGAUCGCUAGAAGAACACCGGGAAAGAUCACUAAAGAAGCUCUACAAUCAUCAUACUCUAGCCAGAAAUUGCCAGAGUCUUAGCAUAACAAGAAGAAGUAUGCACAAAUGAAGGUAGACCACCAUUUAUAGAUCAUAGGGGUGGCCCAGAUCUAAUGCCAAUUCAAAUAGCCCC